AUGACAAAGUGAAAACAGGUUUUUAGACAUUUUUACAAACCUAUAAAACAAAAAAAAACAGAUUGUUUAUUUACAUAAGUAUUCAGAUCCUUUGCUAUGAGGCUCGAUAUUGAGCUCAGGUGCAUCCUGUUUCCAUUGAUCAUCCUUGAGAUGUUUCUACAACUUGAUUGGAGUCCACCUCCAAUCAAGUUGAUUUGAUAUGAUUUGGAAAGGCACAUACCUGUCGAUAUAAGGUCCCACAGUGCAUGUCAGAGCAAAGACCAAGCCAGGAGGUCAAAGGAAUUGUCCGUAGAGCGCAGAGACAGGAUUUUGUCGAGACACAGACCUGGGGAAGGGUACCAAAAAAUGUCUAAAGCAUUGAAGGUCCCCAAAAACACAGUGGCCUCCAUCAUUCUUAAAUGGUAGAAGUUUGGAACCACCAAGAGACUUCCUACAGCUGGCUGCCGUGCCAAACUGAGCAAUCGGGGGAGAAGGGCCUUGGUCAGGGAGAUGACCAAGAACCCGAUGGUCACUCUGACAGAGCUCCAGAGUGUGGAGAUGGGAGAACCUUCCAGAAGGACAACCAUCUCUACAGCACUCCACCAAUCUGGCCUUUAUGGUAUACUGGCCAGAUGGAAGCCACUCCUCAGUAAAAGGCAUAUGACAGCCCACUUGUAGUUGGCCAAAGGCACCUAAAGGACCCUCAAUCCAUGAGAAACAAGACUCUUUGGUCUGAAUAAACCAAAAUGUAACUCUUUGGCAUGAAUGCCCAGCGUCAAAUCUGGAGGAAACCUGGCACCAUCGCUACGUUGAAGCAUGGUGGUGGCAGCAUCAUAAUGUGGGGAUGUUUUUCAGCGGCAUGGACUGGGAGACUAGGUUUAAGGGAAAAAUGAACUGAGCAAAGUACUGCGAGAUGCUUGAUGAAAACCUGCUCCAGAGCACUCAGGACCUCAGACUGGGCCAAAGGUUCACAUAACAACAGGGCAACGACCCUAAGCACACAGCCAAGACAAUGCAGGAGUGGCUUGGGGACAAGUCUCUGAAUGUCCUUGAGUGGCCCAGCCAGAGCCCGGACUUGAACCAAAUCGAACAUCUCCGGAAAGACCUGAAAAUAACGGUGUAGUGACGCUCCCCAUCCAACCUAACAGAGCUUGAGAGGAUUUGCAAAGAAGAAUGGGAGAAACUCCCCAAAUACAGGUGUGCUGAGCUUGCUUGCUUACUUAUUUUAUUUGGCUUUUUAUUUGCAAAAACUUCUAAAAACAUGUUUCUGCUCUAUCAUUAUGGGGUAUUGUGUGUAGAUUGACGCGGGUGGGGAAAAACUAUUCAAUCAAUUUUAGAAUGAGGCUCUAUCGUAACAAUAUGUCUAAAAAGUCAAGGGGUCUAAGUACUUUCCGAAUGCACUGAAUUGUUUGCCAAUUUCUAUUGUGAGGAGAUUGUCAUGCUUUUAAUACAGAUAUCUCUUCAAAGCAAACCCUUCACAAUGCCUCUCACUCUUCCUCUCCUUGAACAUGUACCCUUUUCUCUCCAUCCACCAAAGAAAUCACACCCCCAGUGACAGGGGAACAAUGCAAAUAUGGACUCUCAUUUCAGGCUACAAUUGCUGUGUGAUUGGGUCAUUUUCCAUGGAGGUCAGAGAGACAAUUAAGGCUGGUGUAAUAGGAGUGAUAGGGGAGAGUCAGGGAGAGGGAGCUACAGUGAAAUUGAUGGUGUGCAAUGAGAGAGGGACAGGAGCAGGGUGUUAAACUGAUGGCCUGUGGUGGUACAGUACUGAGACUACUGAAAGCUGAUUUAUGCUUGAUCAGGCUAUGCGGUCAGAGGCUCUAUGGAGGGUGUGCGCAAUUGCGUAACUUCGUUCACCACGCUCUACUGGGCGAAUCUCACAUAGUAUGAAUACCCUGACUCCUUCCGAGUCCAUAUCGCCGGUGGCUAAUUUUACUGGUGGCUAAUUUUGAGUAAUCAAAAAGUUGUGUGUGUCUGUUUUGCUUGUACUGUUUUUCAGGGUUGAGAUUUUACUUUGACUUUUGAUUGGAUUCUACUGAAAGAUCAGAAGCCACAGAUGUAUAGUGCACACUUAAUUACUGUUGUAACAAUAUUAAAUUGAAAUGUACUUUUUACUUCCAGAUCUGUACAGACUGUUCCUGGUAAGGCCAUGCUAAGCAAUGUCUGUGCUGUCUGAUCAUAUUCUAUUAAGGGACCGUUAUUCACAAUAAAUUAUUCUGAAGGUCAGUGCCUCUCUGUAGCUUCGUACGAACCAUCCGGAUCUCGCAAGCUUACAUUUCGCUACACAAAUCCAAACUGGUCAUGACCAGAUUCAAAUCUUUUGAGCCCCUCCAUUCCCUUCAGGGUAUGGCUAGUCCAAUCAGUGUUUUCUGCUAAUCUGUGGGGGUGGUUUAGUUGAAGAUGACAACGAGAAGCGCCUGUAUUGGAAACAGAAGUCGAAAAUCACAACAACAAUAGUUCCUCUUCAGGAGGUUGGCGUUGAUGCUGCUAUAGCAUCAGUUACUGUAUAUCAAAACUGGAGGGCAUAACUUCAUUGAAAGAAAAGCAUAUAACUGCAUUAAAAGAUCAUCUCAGAGGAAAGAUGUUUUCGCUCUUCUCCAGACUGGGUUUGGCAACAGCUUGAUUUACUAGCUAGCUCUGCUGCUAGUCAAGAAAAAGAGACUGAUCAAUGAUCCAAUUUUCAUUGUUGUGUCGCCGUUGGUCGCCUUCAUGGAGUACUAGAUGAGGGAGGGUGCGAAGCUGGGGAUCACUGCUAUGCAGCUCGGUGUAAAUAAUGAGGCGGACAUCCUCCAUGGACGUUGCCAGGUUGUAUCGAGAACCUCAUGGGGAUGAGGUUCAUGUCACAUACAAAUGGUAAAUAUAACUACAUCAUUUUAUAUCAAACGAGUCCAUUCUAUGUUAAACAUUCAUUGGAUUCCUAGCUAGCAGCUCGUUAGCUAGCUAGUGCAUAAGUAACAGACUUUCUCAAAGACAAUAAACUAGUGUAGCUAGCUAACUUUAGACAUGCUCUAACCUCACGUUACAAUGUUACCGAUAGUAAUGGACAGUAUGAUGACUUAUUUUUGCAAGUUCAUAUGUUAUUAUGUAUGUUAUUAUUCUACUUUCUGAUCUAGACUCUAAUGUUGGAUCUUAUUUUCUUUCAACCAGGGAAGAGGGUGCAAAAGGGGAUUAGCCUUCAAAGAGAGCUUUACAAAGCUGGGAGAACUUCGAUCCAUUGCCAAAGAGGGUACACCAGUGUUGCCACUCACAGCAUCAACAUGCAAGAGCAAAUCUGCACAUCAUCAGUGAAGUAUUUGGUAACAUUGACGGUGUAGAGCCUACUUUCCAUCAGGAUAGCUUAACUGAGCCAGAUGAUGAUUACAUUGGUUAAUAUGAUGAGGAAGCUGAGGACUUUGGGAUGGAAAAACAACACAGCAGCUUCGACAGAUAAAUUAAAGGGUCACUUAAACAAACGUGGCACCACUGGUCAGCAGUAGGCCACUAGAACCAAACUGCUAUAACACAACUGUCAUUUUAUGGGGGGGAUGGGACAUUGUUCUAUAUAGAUUUAGUUGAGCGAGAGUUAGUUGAACGACUGUUCAGAAAUGAGACUGUGUUACUAUCUGUAUGUUGUUACUUGUUCAAAAACUGUCAUAAUGUCACGCCCUGGCCAUAGAGAGGCUUUUAUUCUCUAUUUUGGUUAGGCCAGGGUGUGACUAGGGUGGGCAUUCUAGUUUCUUUAUUUCUAUGUUUUGGCCGGGUAUGGUUCUCAAUCAGGAACAGCUGUCUAUGGUUGUCUCUGAUUGGGAAUCAUACUUAGGCAGCCUUUUUCCCACCUGUGUUUUGUGGGUAGUUAUUUUCUGUUUAGCUGUUUAGUUGCCUACACAGAACUGUGCGUGUUUGUUGUCUCUUUGUUAUGGUGUUCAGUAUAAUAAAUAUCAUGAACGCCUA